rnacentral:rRNA from 1 species
GCUAAAUAGCUAGCUCGACCACCAAGACUAAAAUCACACCAUCCAUAACCUUAUUUAAACCUAAACAACCAAACUAAACCAUUCUCCUGCCUUAGUACGGGCGACGGAAAAGGCACUUACUAGAAGCAAUAGAAAAAGUACCGCAAGGGAAAGCUGAAAGAGAGGUGAAACAGCCCAUCAAAGCCUAAAAAAGCAGAGACUAACCCUCGUACCUUUUGCAUCAUGAUUUAGCUAGUAUCCUUGAGCAAAGAGAACUUUAGUUCAAACCCCCGAAACCAAGUGAGCUACCCCGCGACAGCCUACAUCAGGGCCACCCCGUCUCUGUGGCAAAAGAGUGGGAAGAUCUCCGGGUAGCGGUGACAGACCUACCGAACUUGGUGAUAGCUGGUUGCCUCGGAAAUGGAUAGAAGCUCAGCCUCGUACUCCUCAACUCAUAUAAGUAUCACUACACACGGACCUACCGAACUUGGUGAUAGCUGGUUGCCUAGGAAAUGGAUAGAAGUUCAGCCUCGUACUCCUCAACUCAUAUAAGUACCACUACACACGAAACUGAGAAAUAUACGAGAGUUAGUCAAAGGGGGUACAGCCCCUUUGAACCAGGACACAACCUUACAUAAGGAGGUUAAGGAUCAUAUUUAAUAAGACUACUGCUCCAGUGGGCCUAAAAGCAGCCACCUGAAUAGAAAGCGUUAAAGCUCAGGCAGAACAAUAAAUCUAUUAUUCUGAUAACUCAUCCCAAACCCCUCCAAAUACUAGGCCAUUCCAUGCCAACAUGGAAGAGACCCUGCUAAAAUGAGUAAUAAGAAGGAACCCCCUUCUCCCGAUCCACGUGUAAGCUAGACCGGACCAACCACUAACAAUUAACGAACCCAACACAAGAGGGCAACGUGAUUAUAAACAAACAACAAGAAAACACCACAUCACACCCAAUCGUUAACCCCACACUGGAGGACCAAAGGGAAAGACUAAAAGAAAAAGAAGGAACUCGGCAAACACAAGCCUCGCCUGUUUACCAAAAACAUCGCCUCCUGCAUAAUAACUCAACGUAUAGGAGGUCCUGCCUGCCCAGUGACAACUAGUUAAACGGCCGCGGUAUUUUGACCGUGCUAAGGUAGCGCAAUCACUUGUCUUUUAAAUGAGGACCUGUAUGAAUGGCGGAACGAGGGCUUAACUGUCUCCUUUUCCUAGUCAAUGAAAUUGAUCUACCCGUGCAGAAGCGGGUAUACUAAUACAAGACGAGAAGACCCUUUGGAGCUUAAGAUAAAAGGCCAACUAUGUCAAAGGCCCAAAUAAAACUAAGCCAAACAAAACAGCCAACUGGCCAAUAUCUUCGGUUGGGGCGACCGCGGGGGAAAACAAAGCCCCCACGUGGAACGGGGAAUAUACCCUAAAACCAAGAGAGACAUCUCUAAGUCACAGAACAUCUGACCAAAAGAUCCGGCCAACCAAGCCGAUCAACGGACCAAGUUACCCUAGGGAUAACAGCGCAAUCCCCUCCAAGAGUUCAUAUCGACAAGGGGGUUUACGACCUCGAUGUUGGAUCAGGACAUCCUAAUGGUGCAGCCGCUAUUAAGGGUUCGUUUGUUCAACGAUUAAAGUCCUACGUGAUCUGAGUUCAGACCGGAGCAAUCCAGGUCAGUUUCUAUCUGUAAAGCUACUUUUCCUAGUACGAAAGGACCGGAAAAAUGAGGCCCAUGCUACAAGUACGCCUCCCUCCAACUUAAUGAAACCAACUAAAUUAAAUAAAGGAAGAGCAACCCAGCCCCCAAGAUAAGGGUCU